GUCGUCACUUUCAACAGGAGCCAAAGAACUCCCUUGUUCAAACCCUAACUAGCAUAAAUUCAAGCAAAUUGGAAGGGCAAAUCACACCCAAAUUGAAAUCCAAGCACGGAUUAGUGAUCACCUCAGUGAAGUGAUCAUAAGUUUGACUCUUGACGAACUAGGUGAAGCUUGGAGGAGAUGAUCAAACGGGAUAAAGGCACGAGUAAGACUUGCUUGGAUGAAAGGUGAUGUUCGUCUCAUUUCGGAUGCCGAUCAAGCAAGAAUUCAAGAACCGAACACAAAGUUUUGAAGCUUCCGCGCUAACCUAAUCUUGUUUGAGACAAUGUUUAUUUGUAAACACUAAACUCAAUGUUGUAUGUUUAAACUAGUUAGUUUGUAAACUAGAAUACCAUAACCAUGUAAACUUAGUUUUUAUAACUAAGUUUUGAAA